AUAUUGGACAAUGGGGGAAACCCUGAUCCAGCAAUGCCGCGUGAGAGAAGAAGGCCUUAGGGUUGUAAAGCUCUUUCACCCGUGAAGAUGAUGACGGUAGCGGGAGAAGAAGCCCCGGCUAACUCCGUGCCAGCAGCCGCGGUAAUACGGAGGGGGCUAGCGUUGUUCGGAAUUACUGGGCGUAAAGCGCACGUAGGCGGCGCGUCAAGUCAGGGGUGAAAGGCCUGGGCUCAACCUGGGAACGGCCUUUGAUACUGGCGUGCUGGAGUACGGGAGAGGGUGACGGAAUUCCCAGUGUAGAGGUGAAAUUCGUAGAUAUUGGGAAGAACACCGGUGGCGAAGGCGGUCACCUGGCCCGGAACUGACGCUGAGGUGCGAAAGCGUGGGGAGCAAACAGG
rnacentral:rRNA from 1 species